UCAGCAGGCCGGAUGGCCGCUCCUCACCCGAGGAGAGGAAAGUCCGGGCUCCAUGGAAGCACGGUGCCGGAUAACGUCCGGCGGGGGCGACCCCAGGGAAAGUGCCACAGAAAGCAAACCGCCCUUCAUCGGCUGCGAGGCCGGACAAGGGUAAGGGUGAAAGGGUGCGGUAAGAGCGCACCGCGUCUUUGGUAACAAGGGCGGCAAGGCAAACCCCACCGGGAGCAAGACCGAAUAGGGGCCGCAGGGGCGAGUUUUCGCCCAAGUCUGUUUCCAGACGGGCGGCCCGGGUUGGUUGCACGAGGCGUCCCGCAAGGGGCGUCCCAGAUGAAUGGCCAUCACCUCGCCUAGCGAGGCACAGAACCCGGCUUACAGGCUUGGUGACAUG
rnacentral:RNase_P_RNA from 1 species